rnacentral:rRNA from 1 species
UACGGAGGGAGCUAGCGUUGUUCGGAAUUACUGGGCGUAAAGCGCGCGUAGGCGGCUUUGUAAGUUAGAGGUGAAAGCCCGGGGGCUCAACCCCCGGAACUGCCUUUAAGACUGCAUCGCUUGAAUCCGGGAGAGGUGAGUGGAAUUCCGAGUGUAGAGGUGAAAUUCGUAGAUAUUCGGAAGAACACCAGUGGCGAAGGCGGCUCACUGGACCGGCAUUGACGCUGAUGUGCGAAAGCGUGGGGAGCAAACAGG